CAACCUGGUUGAUCCUGCCAGUGAAGCACACUUCGGUCAUAGAUUAAGCCAUGCAAGUGUUAGUUCAGGCAACGAAACUGCGUAUAGCUCAUUAAUACGCUCAGAAUCUAUUUGGUGGCGAUCUUCAGGUCUUAUAUGGAUAGCAGGAGUAAUUCUCGUGCUAAUACAUGCGAUUGUUUCAUCGGAAGUGAUUUACGAUGGAAAAGUUGACCCUUACGGGCACACCAUUCGACUGAGCGACCUAUCAGCUAGUACUUAGGGUCUGUACCUAGGUAGGCUAUCACGGGUAACGGGCGGUUACCGUCGGACUGCCGGAGAAGGCGCCUGAGAGAUAGCGACUAUAUCCACGGGUAGCAGCAGGCGCGAAACUUACCCACUCGAGACUUUCGGAGGYGGUAAUGACCAGUUCCGCUGAUUGCCUUAUGGCAUCAAUGGRUAGGAGUACACUUUUCCAGUGUUCUGAAACCUAGCAGAGGGCCAGUCUGGUGCCAGCAGCUGCGGUAAUUCCAGCUCUGCGAGUUUGCUCCCAUAUUGUUGCAGUUAAAACGCCCGUAGUCAGAAUUCUCUCCGCAAGGAGAGGUGUGUUCCUUUUGGAACGUUCACUGUGAACAAAUCAGGACGCUUAGUGUAUGGUUUCAAGAAUGACUCAGCGCAGUAUGAUAUCUUUACCUAUGGUAAGAUCAAAGAGAGCCAUCGGGGGUAGAUCUAUUUCAUGGCGAGCGGUGGAAUGCUCUGACCCAUGAGAGAGAAGCGAAGGCGAAGGCAUCUACCUAGAGGGUUUCUGUCGAUCAAGGGCGAGAGUAGGAGUAUCCAACCGGAUUAGAGACCCGGGUAGUUCCUACCUUAAACGAUGCCGACAGGGGCUCGUCUUUUAAUGAAGGCGGGACCAUAGGAGAAAUCAUAGUUCUUGGGCUCUGGGGGAACUACGACCGCAAGGCUGAAACUUGAAGGAAUUGACGGAAGGGCACACCAGGGGUGGAGCUUGUGGCUUAAUUUGAAUCAACACGGGGAAACUUACCAGGACCAGAUGAUUUUAAGGACUGACAGGCUUUGGGUCUUUCAGGAUAUGUCUUUUGGUGGUGCAUGGCCGUUGGUGGUGCGUGGGUUGACCUGUCUAGCGUUGAUUCAGCUAACGAGCGAGAUUAUCGCCAAUUAUAUACCAUUCUUUAAUUAUUUAAAGCUUUGGUUCUAAUUGGGACUCCCUGCGUCUAAGCAGGCGGAAGAGGGUAGCAAUAACAGGUCCGUGAUGUCCUUUAGAUGCUCUGGGCUGCACGCGCGCUACAAUGUUAGGAUCAAAGGGAUGCAAAGCCUGAAAGGAUUGAGCAACUCCGACAAUACCUAACGUAGUUGGGAUUGACGAUUGUAAUCAUCGUCAUGAACCAGGAAUCCCUUGUAAAUGUGUGUCAACAGCGCACGUUGAAUACGUCCCUGCCCUUUGUACACACCGCCCGUCGCUCCUACCGAUUGGAUGACUCGGUGAAAUUACCGGAUCUUACGAGAAAAGGUAUUUAAAUCACGUUAUCUAGAGGAAGGAGAAGUCGUAACAAGGUAACGGUAGGUGAACCUGCAGAAGGAUC
rnacentral:rRNA from 1 species